rnacentral:rRNA from 1 species
UACGUAGGUGGCAAGCGUUGUCCGGGUUUAUUGGGUUUAAAGGGUGCGUAGGCGGCUUUGUAAGUCAGUGGUGAAAUAUGGCAGCUCAACUGUCAAGGUGCCAUUGAUACUGCGAGGCUUGAGUACAGAUGAGGUAGGCGGAAUUGACGGUGUAGCGGUGAAAUGCGUAGAUAUCUGGAGGAACACCGGUGGCGAAGGCGGCAUCCUGGACCGAUACUGACGCUGAGGAGCGAAAGCCAGGGGAGCAAACGGG